CAGUAGCCGCGGGAACACGGAGGAUCCAAGCGUUAUCCGGAAUCAUUGGGUUUAAAGGGUCCGUAGGCGGUCUUGUAAGUCAGUGGUGAAAGCCCAUCGCUCAACGGUGGAACGGCCAUUGAUACUGCAGGACUUGAAUUAUUGGGAAGUAACUAGAAUAUGUAGUGUAGCGGUGAAAUGCUUAGAGAUUACAUGGAAUACCAAUUGCGAAGGCAGGUUACUACCAAUUGAUUGACGCUGAUGGACGAAAGCGUGGGUAGCGAACAGGAUUAGAUACCCGCGUAGUCCCUGUCUCUUAUAC
rnacentral:rRNA from 1 species